UACGGGGGGGGCAAGCGUUGUUCGGAAUUACUGGGCGUAAAGGGCCAGUAGGCGGCCAACUAAGUCCGACGUGAAAUCCCAAGGCUUAACCUUGGAACUGCGUCGGAUACUGGAUGGCUUGAAUUCGGGAGAGGGAUGCAGAAUUCCAGGUGUAGCGGUGAAAUGCGUAGAUAUCUGGAGGAAUACCGGUGGCGAAGGCGGCAUCCUGGACCAACACUGACGCUGAGGAGCGAAAGCCAGGGGAGCAAACGGGG
rnacentral:rRNA from 1 species